rnacentral:lncRNA from 10 species
GGAGAAUCACUCGAACCCGGGACGCAGAGGUUGCAGUGAGCCGAGAUCACGACAUUGCACUCCAGCCUGGAUGACAGAGUGAGACUCCAUCCCAAAAAAAAAAAAAAAAUGUUAUCUGUUACAGUGAUUUUACAAAUGUCCCUUCUAAUCAUCCUUUGUAUUUCCUUACUAGUCUAAAUAGCAAAGGAUAUCCUUAUUUCUGUGUUACAA